rnacentral:tRNA from 1 species
UUGACUGAAACCAAAAAGAGGUGUAUUAUUGUUAAUAAUAAAAUUGAAUUAGAAUUCCAGUUAAG